UUGCCCCGGCCCAGCUGGUCGCUUUCCCUCCACGAGGCCCGCAGGAAGGUGACCCCCGGGCUCCGGUCGUAAACCCGACGCGGACCUCCGAGCCUCCUGAUACCCGGGAAACACCCAAAAGCAGCUAGGUUUUUGAUCCCGUUUUAGCCUGCUUUCCAUUCCGAUGAUCUGAGAUUGUGCUCCGUUUGCAGACAUUAGAGACGGAAGACCACCGUCGCUUGUUUUCCCUCUGCGGACUGCCGGUAUCCCUGCUAUUUCUUGACAGAAGAAAUCAACAUCUUGGCUCCCGAGGAGCCCCAGAGAAUCCCAGUCAGCCUGGUCAGGCGGUGCCCUGCCUGCAGCCAAGCUCAGAGCAGCCGCGAGCCUUCUCCGUCCCCAUCUUGCCCCAAAGGGGAGCAGGCCGUGCAGCUUCCAGCAGCACACUGAGACCCCAAACUUCCCAGCAGCUUCACUUUCCUGCCACCUAAGUUGCGUUUUCCUUUGCGAGAGAAGAAGCAGAAAGGCUCCGGCUGAUGGUUGAAGAGCAUUGUCUCCCUUAUCCUGACCUGAUUGUCCUCGAACAAGGACCAGAUGAGAUGCGUCCUUCCAGGAGGCACAUGCCAAAGGCCCCCACAGGUCUGCUUGAAAAUGAAUCAAUAAACGUAACAGAAAAGGAAAAGGACAAAAAGUGGCGAGGCGAGGGCUGGUGGCGGGCUACACGGGCCAGUCCAGAGGAGGCUCCCUGGCCGGCCCUGGGCCACCCCGCGGAUGGCGCGCCGCAGUCAACCCUGGAGGGGGCUGGCGAAGUACCGCAGGGGGAGGGAGGGAGCCUGUCGCGGUCGGGCCGUGGCCUGAGGCGUCGGGAGCUGCUCCUCCGAGGGCCCAGCGGUCCGGAGAGGGGAGCGCCAAGCGCUUGGGCAGGGCGCCCUGGGUCCCCGCCCCCUCCUCACCUUUAGCUCUUGCCAAUCGUCCUAGCACCAUACAGGCUUCCUUAGGAGCAGAGUCGGUGACAGUGACAGGUCGCAGACUUUGAGAGCUUUGCAUUUAUUUUGUGGUGGUGGGGAAAUUCCUGGCCACAUUCAUCAGCCUUGCCACCGUCAGUAAAUGUAAAAAGCUCCAACACUUUUCCAAGCAAAAAUAAACUACUGGUAUUUUUGGAAUGCUUAUCUCUGGGGAAAAUAUUUGGACAGCUGGAGCACACCCAGCUCUCUGACUUGUCUCCACUUUGCACUCUCUGUUUUCCCCUGCUCUGACCUGAAAUGUUACUGAGCCAGUUGCUUUCAAGCGGCUUUUCACAUAAAACUGUUAACUGUUAAUUAUAAUGCUGCUUAAUGCAAAUUUGAAAUCAUCUAUUGUAUUAUCUUGCUUUAACUGCCAUUAUGAACAUACCUAAUACAAGAAGAACUAAGACAGCUCUUCAAUAAACCAACUUGUAAUUAAUUACAAAAUGCUCCAAAUAAAAGCCUCUCUGUGCUCUUAAGCCAUCACUUUCCUUGCUUUAAGUUUUGAAAAUUAAAUCCUAUUUCUUCUAGCUUUGCAGUAUUUCCUGCUCUAGUGAUGUCCACUUAGUCCACUAAGACUCUCUUGCCCCAUUGUUAAACACGUGUCUGUUUUUAUUGAUUUUAACUUCGAGAAGCCACAUUCCCUACUAGAAAUUGACACUGGGCAGUUAACAAAUCCAUAGACAUAUUAAAAGAUGAGCUUAUCUUCACAAACAAACGUCAUUACUUCAGGAAUAGAAAGUUUCUUAAAUUGUCUUGAAAAAUCAAGCCCACUACAUAAAUCCGUAGUGCCAAUAUCUUUUGAAUAUUACUGCGUCAAUGCCAACUUCAAUGUUACAUCUAAAUCUCUUCUUAUAUCUGAUUUCUUCCGUCAGCUGUGGAUAUCAUACAGAAAACCAGCGAGAUUUCAACUGCCGCUGUUGAAACCUUUGGCAAGAGAGGGAAGAGCACCAUCGAGCACUGCAAAGUGGGAAUUCACUUUGAACUUUGAUUUGGGUGUGAGUGGUUGUGCCUUGACCUUCAUUCACAUCGUCAGGCUGCCACCCAAAAUGCUGUCAGAAAGGCUGUUCCUUCAGCAAGCCCGCGAGGGUCAGCCUCGGGUCUGCGUUCCUGCAGAAUGUCUUCAGUCGGCUGCGGCUUUUAAACAGCGGGAUGCGCGUUUCAGUCCUUUUCCCGGGGCUGCUGGCUAGCAAGGUUAAAUUCAGGAGGAUACUAUGCCCAGAUGAGCGAAGCCACCGUUCUUCAGGUGGAGAUGCCAACUGCAGGAGCCGCCAGAUGACCCAGCGAAGGCCGCACCACCGGACGUGUCAAAGAGCACCGCCACGAAGCGCCGAGGGGUCGC